UUCUUAUACCAUUUUUAUAAGUAAUAUCUGCUCAAUGAUAUUUAAAUAGCCGCAGAAUUUUAACUGUGCUAAGGUAGCAUAAUCAUUUACCUUUUAAUUGAAGGCCUGUAUGAAAGAUUUUACAUUUAAAUUAUUUUUUUGCUAAAUUAAAUUUAAAUUUUACUAAAAAUAAAAAUAUUUUUAUAAAUAAAAAAGACGACAAGACCCUAUUGAACUUUACUUCAGUUAAGCUGGGGAAGCUACUUAAAUAUCAUUUUAAUAAUAUAACUUAAAUAGAUUUCUGGAAACCCAAUUUGAACAAGUUACCAUAGGGAUAACAGCGUAAUAAUUUUUUAAAGUUCUUAUUAAAAAAAAAGGUUACGACCUCGAUGUUGAAUUAAAUUUACUUUAAAACGCAAUAGUAUUAAAAGGAGGUCUGUUCGACCUUUAAAUUUUUACAU
rnacentral:rRNA from 1 species